rnacentral:rRNA from 1 species
AGAGUUUGAUCAUGGCUCAGGAUGAACGCUGGCGGCGUGCUUAACACAUGCAAGUCGAACGAUUAAAGCGCCUUCGGGUGUGUAUAAAGUGGCGAACGGGUGAGUAACACGUGACCAACCUACCCCGUGCACCGGGACAACCACCGGAAACAGUGGCUAAUACCGGAUAAUGCUAGAUAAGCGCAUGUUUUUCUAGCCAAAGCACAUACGGCACGGGAUGGGGUCGCGGCCCAUCAGGUUGUAGGCGGGGUAACGGCCCACCUAGCUUUCGACGGGUAGCCGAGCUGAGAGGCUGAUCGGCCACAUUGGGACUGAGAUACGGCCCAGACUCCUACGGGAGGCAGCAGUGGGGAAUUUUGCGCAAUGGGGGAAACCCUGACGCAGCAACGCCGCGUGCGGGAUGAAGGCCUUCGGGUUGUAAACCGCUUUCAGUAGGAAAGAACACAAUGACGGUACCUACAGAAGAAGCCCCGGCUAACUACGUGCCAGCAGCCGCGGUAAUACGUAGGGGGCAAGCGUUAUCCGGAUUCAUUGGGCGUAAAGCGCGCGUAGGUGGACAUCUAAGCGGGACCUCUAGUCCGAAGGCUCAACCUUUACGGCCGGGUUCCGAACUGGAUGUCUCGAGUUGGGUAGGGGAGGUCGGAAUUCCCGGUGUAGCGGUGGAAUGCGCAGAUAUCGGGAAGAACACCGAUGGCGAAGGCAGACCUCUGGGCCUUUAACUGACACUAAGGCGCGAAAGCUGGGGGAGCAAACAGGAUUAGAUACCCUGGUAGUCCCAGCCGUAAACGAUGGGCGCUAGG